rnacentral:rRNA from 1 species
GAUCCUGGCUCAGAUUGAACGCUGGCGGCAUGCUUUACACAUGCAAGUCGAACGGUAACAGGGAGCUUGCUCCGCUGACGAGGUGGCGAACGGGUGAGUAAUGCAUCGGAACGUACCCAGUCGUGGGGGAUAACGUAGCGAAAGUUACGCUAAUACCGCAUACGUCCUGAGGGAGAAAGCGGGGGACCGAAAGGCCUCGCGCGAUUGGAGCGGCCGAUGUCGGAUUAGCUAGUUGGUAGGGUAAAGGCCUACCAAGGCGACGAUCCGUAGCUGGUCUGAGAGGACGAUCAGACACACUGGGACUGAGACACGGCCCAGACUCCUACGGGAGGCAGCAGUGGGGAAUUUUGGACAAUGGGCGCAAGCCUGAUCCAGCAAUGCCGCGUGCAGGAAGAAGGCCUUCGGGUUGUAAACUGCUUUUGUACGGAACGAAAAGGUCUGGGUUAAUACCCUGGGCUCAUGACGGUACCGUAAGAAUAAGCACCGGCUAACUACGUG